rnacentral:rRNA from 1 species
GACGAACGCUGGCGGCGUGCUUAAUACAUGCAAGUCAACUGAACUUUAGGUAGCAAUAUUUAAAGGGAGGUGGCGCACGGGUGAGUAACACGUAGGUAAUCUGCCUUCAGGACUGACAUAAUUCCGCGAAAGCGGGACUAAAAUCAGAUGAUGCAGCGGCUCGACAUCGAGACAGUUGUUAAACCUUCGGGGCCUGAAGAUGAGCCUGCGUCUGAUUAGGUAGUUGGCGGGGUAAAAGCCCACCAAGCCUGCGAUCAGUAGCUGGUCUGAGAGGAUGAUCAGCCACACUGGAACUGAGACACGGUCCAGACUCCUACGGGAGGCAGCAGUAAGGAAUAUUGCUCAAUGGCCGAAAAGGCUGAAGCAGCAACGCCGCGUGGAGGAUGAAAUACUUUAGUAUGUAAACUCCUGUAAGAGGGGAAAAAUAUACAGCUAUGCUGUGUUGAUUGUACCUCAGAGUAAGCACCGGCUAACUACGUGCCAG